rnacentral:rRNA from 1 species
AUUGAACGCUGGCGGAAUGCUUUACACAUGCAAGUCGAACGGUAGAGGGGGCAACCCCUCGAGAGUGGCGAACGGGUGAGUAAUAUAUCGGAACGUGCCCAGUCGUGGGGGAUAACGUAGCGAAAGUUACGCUAAUACCGCAUACGAUCUAAGGAUGAAAGCGGGGGAUCGCAAGACCUCGCGCGAUUGGAGCGGCCGAUAUCAGAUUAGGUAGUUGGUGGGGUAAAGGCUCACCAAGCCAACGAUCUGUAGCUGGUCUGAGAGGACGACCGGCCAAACUGGAACUGGGACACGGUCCAGACUCCUACGGGAGGCAGCAGUGGGGAAUUUUGGACAAUGGACGCAAGUCUGAUCCAGCCAUUCCGAGUGCAGGAUGAAGGCCCUCGGGUUGUAAACUGCUUUUGUACGGAACGAAAAGGUCUCUCUUAAUACGGGGGGCUCAUGACGGUACCGUAAGAAUAAGCACCGGCUAACUACGUGCCAGCCGCCGCGGUAA